ensembl:lncRNA
UCAGGAGUGAGAGUCUCUGGGCAGGACGUCCCAACAUUCGCCUUCACUGGGUGCCAGUCUGUGUCGAAUCUCUAGGCUGCCUGCCAGACAGUCUUGUGAUUGGACUGGAGAGUAGGAAAACAUGUAACAGUGAGGCAGGCGGAGGCCGGAGGCCAGAGUAGCUUGAGACAGCAGGGAACACAAUAGUAAGAUGAGCAGGACUAGGAUCGGAUUUUCCCACGGACACAUGGAGGCGGGGAAAGAUGAGUGGCCAGCAGGAAGCAGCACAGGGGAGAUAGAAGGGCUAAGUGUGGGUUUGAAACAAAGGAGGCAGGAAGCUUCUUAGGGUUCACCCGGCAACAUUUGUCUUAGUCAGGGUUAAGCUAUGGAAGCAGAACCACUAUGAGUAUUAUGGAAUAAGGAAUUUACCAUAAGAGUCAGAUCAGACACAAUUGUGGGAGGAAUUGGAUAAGGAAAGAUCUGAGCGGAGAAUCACCGAACAGUCAUUCACCAGCUGUGGUGCAUGUGAGCAAAGCAGAGCUCACAAGAAAGAACAAGGCGGAUUCUUUGUCACCGAGCUACCUGGAAGCCCUGGACUUGAGGAGCUAUCAUUAAAAUGAGAGAGAAAAGCACUUAUUGACCAAGGAAGCAAAGAAAUAAAGCAACUUGAAGAACUAUGUUCAGAGAAGAACUUGGGAAUGGUGACUGGCUCAUGGAACUGACCAAAACCUUCUCAGUUUUACAAGCAUUGUCAAAAAAAAAAAAGAAGAAGAAGAAGAAGAAGCCUCCUAGUGUCAAGUGUUGAUGGCAUAAAGCAACCCUUGGACCCCAAUGUCUGCACCAGCAGGAAGCUGACUAUGAAAUCUGCUUAGCUCCAAAGAGGGCUUAACCCAAAACUUAAUCCAGAGUUCAGAUGUUAUGAGAGAGGAGAAUAGAUAAAGAAGAAGCUCCCAGAAGACAAGGCCAUCCGCCUUGAAGGAAAUUGGCCUCAUCUCUUCCACACUCUUUUGCCACUUCCUGCCAGCUCGGCCACUGCUCAUCCAUUUUCAUUGCCCAGUAGUGUUUCGUUGUCAGAAUAUGCCAUAAUUUAUUUAUCCAUUCUGUCAUUGGUAGCUGUUUAGAUUGUCUCUCAUUUUUUGCUAUUAUGUUCGGAACAUUCUUUUACAUGUUUCUUGGUGCGCAUGUGGACAGAUAUCUCUGGGGUACAUUCUUAGGCGUGCAAUUGAUGAGUCAUAAAGUACUCAAUAGUGCCAAACUCUCUCAACUCUCUCAAAGUAGUUGUACAAUUAUACUCCCUCCUGCACUGUGUUUGUGUUCCCUUUGUUUCAUACACUUGUCUAUAUUUGUUAUUUUAAGAUAUUUUUAAAAUUUCACUUAUUUAUUUGUUUGGCUGUGUUGGGUCUUAGUUGCAGCAAGCAGAGUCUCUCUUGCGUCAUGCAGGUGGGACCUGCCCUGCGGCCCUUGGGCUCUCUGUGGCGUGUGGGUUCAGUAGGUGUGGCUCAUAGACUUAGUUGUUCCAAGACAUGUGGGAUCUUAGUUCCCCACCACGGAUCAAAGCCAUGUCCCCUGCAUUGCAAGGCAGAUUCUUAAUCACUGGACCACCAGGGAGGUCUCAGUUACUUUCAGAUAUUUUAAUUUUGCUGAUCUGUUGGAUGUACAAUGGUGUCUUAUUGGGGCUUCAGUCACACUUGGGCCUUCAGCCUCAUUCACAUGAGGUUGAAUAUUUUGGCAUACUGUUUAUUGGCCAUUUGGAUUUUCCCUUUGGCGUCCAUUAAAGGGGCACCAAAACUUUUCCAUAGAGCUGUUGGGUUGUCUAUCUCUUUCAUGUUAAUUUUUAAGAAUUCUUCUUUGUAACAAUCACUUACAUAAUGUUGCAAAUAUUUUCCCUCAUUUUAUGGCUUAUCUUUUCACUGUUUAUCUGGUCUUUGGUGGACAGAGGUACUUAAUUUUAAUGUGGUUGAGCCUAAGUUUUUUCCAUUCCUCAUUGUGUAUCCCUCUCUAUUUAUGGUUCACAUGCAGGAUCUCUGAGAGAUGAUUUACCUAGCUGGCCAAGCACAGCACAAAGCUGGGCGGUUGGAUGAUCUUCUCAUGUAAGAUCAUCUCUUAGGUCCUGGGAACCCAUGGAUGUCUGCUUGAGGAUCAGUGACGGUCUCUGGCCCAUCUGGAGUCCCUAAGAUAGGGAGUACCAUUUAAAACAGUAAGUGAUGGAGACAGGAGGAAAUUAGACACCGGAUAAAUAUUCAAAUCACGAAAUACUACUCAUUGACAAUAAAACUCUUAAUAAUCUACAUCUAGAAAUGAGAAAAUAAACAACAGAAAACAGAAAUUUUAUCAUUCUAUGGAAAUUUAUAUCUCAAUUAUUUGGUGAUUGAAUACAUAAUAAUAAUCCAUCCUAAAAACUGUGGUUUGUAGAGAGCUUAUUGAUUAUAUUAUGUGACUCCAGAGUCCAUGGGGUCACUGAGUCAGACACUACUGAGCGACUUCACUUUCCUUUUUUACUUUUGUGCAUUGGAGAAGGAAAUGGCAACCCAUUCCAGUGUUCUUCCCUGAAGAAUCCCAGGGAUGGGGGAGCCUGGUGGGCUGCUGUCUACGGGGUCGCAUAGAGUUGGAUACAACUGAAGCGACUUCGCAGCAGCAGUAGCAGCAGGGUUAUGGCCAGGAAGUAAUAAGCUUAAACCUUCAUAUAAGUAUGUUGAAAUGAUAACUACAAUUGCCAUCUAAAGGUAGAAGUCCAAAGUCUAGAAAAAUGAGAGUCAGUGAGUGCAGAUUCGCCUGUGUUCCUUCAGGAAAUCUCCAAGAGAGAACUUCACUGGAUGGACAUGAACACUCCUGUCACCCUAGGAUGCUUUGUUUCAGUUUUAGAAAAUAACUUACUCCUACCAAAAGUUCAGACAAGGAGGGGAGCUGACGGGGACUUGUGUGGAGAAAAUUGCUCCGUGGGCAAAAUCCAGAGAGCCAGCAUAUCAUGGGUUUAUCCAACACACAAGCAUUUAUCGGAUGCCUGCCAUGUGACAGAUACUCCCUGUAUCAGUUAGGACUCUUCCUGUUACAAGUCACCUCAAUUUAAUAAGAAUUUUUUUGGGGGGUUAUGCAAAUAGAAGUUGAGAGGUAGGGCAGGCUUUGGGGUUUAAUUACCCAGGGGCUCCCAGGUCACCUCUGCUCUAUGCAAGGGCCUCCUCUUCAAGAUUGUCUUCCCACAUUAUGACAAAUGACUCUUCUAGAUACCAGGACUUAUGAAAGAGAGGACAGCUUUUAUGAAGGUUUGCUUUUAAAAGCAUAGACCCUUUUUCCCCAGAAUUACCUAGCAAAGUUCACCUUAUUUUCCAGUGGUGAGAUCAGGUCACAUGCUCCUUUCAAAACCAAUCCCCAUAUGGAAAGAAAUAUCAGGCAUUGACUGGUUCUAAAACCCAGGCCUAAGCAGGAUAGGAUUACAAAUAGGCAAUAAAAGUCCUUCUCUUUAGCUAGAGGGUUGGGGGGUCAUCUUUCCCCUAAGCUUAUGGACCAGAGAGUAAAUGCUUGAUUAAAAAUAAGGACACAGUUAGGGAAUGGCAGAAAGGAUGCGGUGCCAUCUUUCUAUUACAGUCUCUGUCUGCAAGGAGCUUACAUUUUGGGAAGACAGGAGUAUUAUCUACUCAUAAUGAAAAAUGAUAUGAGAGACACAAACUGCAAUGGGAGACUAGAAGAGACCAUUUAUCCUGAUAACGCCUGAGGGAUCAGGGAGCUGGCUUUGCAGAGAUGCAUUUUCUAAGGAUGCCAAAGUAGAAAUUCAUGUAGGUGAAGGGUGUUGGAUCCAGGACAUAGGAAGGCAAGUGUGGUUUAGAGGAAGGAGGCAGGAAGUUAGUUAGAUUCAUAAUACAUUGAAACAAUCAAGUAAAAAUAUCUGGAGAAAAUUUGGGACCAGACAGGGAUGGAGAGAUUGUGUUGGAAGCCAUUAGUAUAAGAGAAAUGAUAGUAAGAGGUACGUUUUAUCACAUAUAUGUGUGUGUGUGUGUGUAAGUCUCUCAGUUGUGUCCAACUCUCUGUGACUCCGUAGCUUGGCAGGCUCCUCUGUCCGUGGUAUUCUCCAGGCAAGAACCUUAGAGUGGGUUGCCAUUCCCUUCUCCAGGGGAUCUUCCCAACCCAGGGAUCGAACUCGGGUCUCCUGCAUUGCAGGCAGAUUCUUUACUGUCUGAGCCACCAGAGAAGCCCACAUAUGUAUUACAUAAACAUUUUAUUUUAUUAUAUAUUAUUUAUAUAUUAAAUAUUAUAUAUUUGUCAGACUGGUUCCAAAUACUUUGUUGAUAUUAUUUCUUUUGAUUCUCACACUCCAGUACAGAUGGUCUCAUCUCGCUUUUACUAAGAAGGCAAUUGACAUUCAAAAGAGUAACUUGCCAAGGCCAUCCAUGUGAUCAAUAGAUGAAUAGGAUUCAAACCCAGAUAAUUCAGGGGUCUGGGUGCUGGAGCUAUGAAUAGAAAUGAGGUUAUUCAGAAACAUGUUUCCAGUCCUCAUCUCCAGAUGCAGUGAUCCUCAAUUUAUAUGGAUACCUUGACUUUUUAGUAGUAUAUUUUUUCUAAAGUAUUUUGUUGUCAUAGAUUUCCCCCCACCCCCAACGUUACCUUCUGACUACAAGCAGCUCAGCAAGCCAAAGCAAUGAGAAAAAGUAUGAGCAUUAUCUCAUAUAACAAGGUUCAAGGCAGGGCAGCUCCAGGAUUAAUUAGUCCAGCAACUCCAUCUCAUCAAGAACCUCGGUUAUCUCCAUUCAUUGUGUAUCUAAAGCAUGUCAGUUGGGUUCUUAAGCUAACUCAUCUGAAAGAUGAAAGGCUACCUUUCAGAGUUUAAGAUCUAGAGGUGCUAAUACAUCUAGACCUGCCAACACCCAAGGGGAAAGGUCAGACCCUCUCUUCUGGUGUGUCCAUUUUGAGUCAUGAAGAAACCUUUCCCCAAAGUCACCUGUCAGAUUGGUCCUCACGUCUUGCCCAGAACUGUUUUGCACACCCAUUCCUAACCAAUCACUAGUGAAAUCACUAGCAAAGAGAACAGGGUUACCUAACUGGCUGAAUAAAGUACACGACCCCAUCUGUGACAGUGGAUUAACAUAAAUAAAUAAAUGAAACAUUAGGGUUCCCUUAGAAAGGAGAAGGCAGAGGGUGGAGGAUGGGACACGGGUUAGUGGUAGGAAGAGGAAGAUGGCAAGAAGGACCUUGAAUAGCCAAUCAGCAUGUCUGCUACAUCUUCAUCAGUAAUACAGCAUGCAUUCUCAAUGGCAAUGAUAUCCCCCCAAGAGAGUAAAAUACUGAUUGGGGUGGGACUUUCCUCCUUUCCUGUGUAAGACGCAAGUAUCCAUAUAGUGCAUAAACACAUGAAUAUACAGUGUAUCAUCUACACUAUUAAUGGACUUCCCUGGUGGCUCAGACUGCAGUGCAGGAGACCUGGGUUCCAUCCCUGAGUCUGGGAGAUCCCCUGGAGAAGGAAAUGGCUCCCCACUCCAGUAUUCUUGCCUGGAGAAUUCCUUGGAGAGAGGAGCCUGGCAGGCUACUGUCCACUGGGUCGUAAAGAGUCGGACACGACUGAGCAACUAACGCAUGCUGUUAAUAUUUCAUAGUGGGAGUAGAUUAGGGGGAAGACUUCUAAAAAGGCUCCUGUGGAGCGGGAGUGGGGUGGUAAUAGUGAAAAAAAAAGGGGGGACAGACACUGAGAUAUAUCACUGCGUCAUUAUUUAGAACUGGAGGCUCCACUCGAGAGGGAAGGGAUAUAUGUAUACGUACAGCUGAUUCACUUUGUUGUACAGCAGACUCUAAGACAGCAUUGUAAAGCAACUAUACUCCGAUAAUAAAAUAAAAUCAAUUAUUAAAAAAGUAAUUGGAGGCUCCUUGAGAAAAAGUUGUGCUGAAAUCCUUCUGUGUAGCAGAAGGCAACGAUACUUUGAGACUCUGUGACCUCUCAGGGCCUUCUAUCUCUCUUUGGUCCAGUUCUAUAAAUAUAAUAACAGUCACUCAUCACGGAAUCUUUUAUUUAUGUCAUUCACUCUGUUGAGUGCUUGACAGGCAUUAACUUGUUAAAUCCUCAUAACGAUCUAGCAAAAUGAAUACUAUCAUUAUUCUCAUGUGACAGAUGAGGAACCUGAGACACGGGAAGAUUAAAUAAUUUUCAUAAGAAAGUGGCUGAAUGGGGGGAUUAGAAAAAAACUAUUCAGUAUGGAAAAUAACAAAAUGGGAAACUUUCACAGUAGCACAGGACUGUAAAACUGUAAGCUGAAACCACACAAUGCAAUUUUAAUAAACAAUGAAAAAUUGCAAUUAUUUGAUGACCUUUAAAUAUUUUUGUCAAAACUUUAAAAUUUCUCUUACUGUCAGUUGUAAAUCUAUAGGGAGAUGAAAAAAAGAGUAGAGCUAAUAUUUAUUUAGUACAUUGUAAUUCAAAACAAAAAUGAAAGUGCUUAUUUGUUUGUAAGAAACAGAUGUAGAAUAGUUUGAACGGUGCUUGCCCUC